rnacentral:rRNA from 1 species
UACGUAGGGUCCGAGCGUUGUCCGGAAUUACUGGGCGUAAAGAGCUCGUAGGUGGUUUGUCGCGUUGUCCGUGAAAACUCACAGCUCAACUGUGGGCGUGCGGGCGAUACGGGCAGACUGGAGUACUGCAGGGGAGACUGGAAUUCCUGGUGUAGCGGUGAAAUGCGCAGAUAUCAGGAGGAACACCGGUGGCGAAGGCGGGUCUCUGGGCAGUAACUGACGCUGAGGAGCGAAAGCGUGGGGAGCGAACAGG